GUCCCGCAACGACCGCACCCCUUGCUCUCAGUCGCCAGCACUCAGUUGGGCACUCUAAGGUGACUGCCGGUGACAAACCGGAGGAAGGUGGGGAUGACGUCAAAUCAUCAUGCCCCUUAUGACCUGGGCUACACACGUGCUACAAUGGGCAGAACAAAGGGCAGCGAAGCCGCGAGGCUAAGCCAAUCCCACAAAUCUGUUCUCAGUUCGGAUCGCAGUCUGCAACUCGACUGCGUGAAGCUGGAAUCGCUAGUAAUCGCGGAUCAGCAUGCCGCGGUGAAUACGUUCCCGGGCCUUGUACACACCGCCCGUCACACCACGAGAGUUUGUAACACCCGAAGUCGGUGAGGUAACCUUUGGAGCCAG
rnacentral:rRNA from 1 species